AAUCCUAUUUUUUAAAGCCAAGCAAAGUGAAACAAAACAAAAUUGAAUCAAUCUUCUGUGACAACAUGCUAAAGAUUAAAAAUAAUGAAACGCUGGUAAAUCAUUUUUUUAAUGAUACAUCCGCAUGGGAUUGGAUCAAGAUUUUAUAUCAUUUACCAUUGAUACAAGACUGAACUCUAAUUGUCUCCUAAUCCUAAAGGAUAAAUUAGUCAAAACUCGUUGGAUGGUAAAAAAGCUAAAACCUAUUCUGCUAACGAGCCACAUGCAGAAAGUGAGGGUAAAUUGGGAGGAAUUGUUUUGCUGUUAUUAAUUUUUUACAAUUACUAUUAUUAAGCGGAUUACAUGGUAAAAAGGGAAGCUUCAGAUUAAAAAAUAUUAUUCAAUGUAACACUGUAACCAAAAAAGGAGUUGAAAAUGUGGAUGUUAUGGUAAAUAAUUAGGAUGGCAAAAAAAGGAGGACAAAAAGGCAAUUGAAUAAAUUUACAUGUUUGAUGAAGAUGAACAAAGAUGAUGAUGUAUUUAUAAUAUGGUACAUUGAGUUAACCUGAUAAUUUGCUUACGGCAAAGAUGAAGUUGACUGCUAUAAAGACAAUCUUUAAUCAUUAUGGAUAAUGAAUGGCAUUAUUUUGUGUACCAAUCCAUUGGGUGUAACAAAUGGUGUAAAAUGAGAAGGUCCGUAAAUGGAACCAUCGCCAUUCUCAAAGCUUUCACCAUGAAUAUAGACCAUAACUGGUAACAAGCCUGGUUGAGGAGUCCGUCUCUGGAUCAACAAUCAAAAAGAAAGAAAGAAAAGUUGACAUUUAAAGGACCAUUUUCCCAAUUAUAAUUCGUAACCUGGUAACAAUAGUUCAAUAGUCAACCCUCAAGUUAUUAGCAAAGUUAAUGGGUUAACUCAUCCAAUUUGUUUCCACUCAAUAACCAUACAAUAUUUUGAAUGGUUAAUGAUUAUAAUUAGGGUACAGAGGCAAGAUUUAUGAUAAUCUUACAGAGAAUCAUGAUGCUGAUUAUCCAAAUAAUCCAUUAUUAAAUAGAUCAGAGCAGAAACAAAGAAAAAUAUUUGUUUUCUCUGUUUACAAAUUUUCUCAUGUAUUAGCUGUAAGAUGCAAUCUGAUCAUGAAAUGUGAUCAGAUGCGAUCUAAUAAUAUAACAACAGUUUGAUGAAAAAACAUGACAAUUUUGUUGGUUUGGAGUAAAAGCUUGUUGAAUUAGGCUUCACUAUUUAAGCAAUUUUCAAGCAAAGAUAACCCAACCAAACCAACAAAUUUAACCGUCUAAAUGAAUGGUUAACUAAUUAGAGUUAGAGUUACAGCUAUAAAUGGUGACAAAAAUUGAACAAAAUGUUCAUGUAAUGUCUUUAGAGAUAAGUAGACAACAUAGAGCCAGAACUAAAGCAAUUUACAGUUGAACAAAGUGUUAAUAUCAUCUUAAAUUAACUUCAUGUUAUAAUUAAUAGUAAAUUUGUGAGAUUCCAUUAACAAGAUUGUUAACCAGUUUUACCAAAAACCAAACCUUACAAGAGGAAAAGAGAUUCAUCUUGUCAAGUUCAAUUUAGGCCUACAAUUUUUCUCAUUCCAAUUGCAUACAAUUUAUAACAUAGUCCAAAUUUUUGGCCCUCUUAACAGACUAAAAUCAAUUAUCUUAACCUUUUAAUUUACUUGAAAAGCAAAAUGAAACCUUUAUGUACUUUCUCUGAUAUUAACCCAAAAAAGACGGUUAAAUUACACUAAAUUUACACCAAAAACUAACCAUGAUAAGAGCACUUGUAAUGAAAAGGUUUCAUUUUAAUUAACCUUGAUUCGAUAAGCCUAAAGCAAACACUGCUAUUUUGACUAUUCAAUUCACUAUGCUGAAUCACCAGGAUAAUCAGGGUGAAAGGAAAAAGGAAUGAAAGUGAAAAUCUGAAAGUUCAACGAAAUGUAAUCAAUGGCGAAUCUUGUAUACAAAGAUGUUUUUCCCUCUUGUUCAUGUCACUCAACAGUCAAUCUGAUUCAAUCCUUUCGCCUGAAGCACAACUGAUUCUGUCUUCCAGAUGAUAAUGAUGACCAUUAGAUCUCCAAAGGCAACUCAAAGUAAUCAAAAAUGCUUGCAAUCUAAAUCAAAUACACAAUACCAAGGAUUAACUGAUCAUUCAAUGAUAACAUGAAAUGACUAUCUUACAUCAACCCAUUGUUUCAAACCAGUGAACCUGUAAACAAAAACAAAUUUGUAUUCAUCUUAAUCUUUUGGACAAUUUUUCAGUUUAUGAAUCAUGAAUAGUUUCCUGAAAACAAAUCUGAGAUUUUUCAAUUUUCUCAACAUCAGCCAACAUUAUUCAUGAGUAAACUUCAAGAUGGAAUUUUGUUUUUUUCCUGGAAAUUUUCGCUUUUUGUAAAUUGGACAAAAAGGUUGGCCUUUUGAUGUCUGCUUUUAGUGGAUUCAAUCUGAAUAUUUUUGUGAUGAAAAAUUGUUCCCUCCAAUGAUGAUGUUCAAGUAUGAAAAUCAUGAAUGGGAUUGUUUGUUAAGAUAACAAUAAAUGGAUACAAAAACAAAUGGCAUCAUUAAUCAUAAUAUAGCUUUGCCAAUGUUUUAUUGUUACAAUAAUGUAAAAAUGUUUUCACUUUUCACAGUAACAAAUGUUAUUGUGAUUUCAGUGAUCAAUGGUAAUCUAAUAGACGAGCAAGUUCAAUGGUUAACCAAUUCAAUUUACUGGUAAACUUAACAUUAUUUACUGAACAAGAAAAAGAUAUUUCUCUGUUUUUUUCCCAUGUUUUGUUUCUCUGCUGUUGUUUUCUGUGAUUAAUUUGACCUGUUCACCUAAAAACCAAGAAACCAGCCUGAAAAACAUGAUAAAAUAGCCCUGAGUUUUGCAAAGAAAUAAAUAGGUUAGAAGCAGAAAAAAAACAAUUUAGUUGAGCAAAAAAUGUCUUGAAAGAAAAUGAAGACAAGAGCAAAAAAGGAAUGAAGAUAAUAGUUGGAGCUGGUCAGUAAUAAUCGAGGUUGAUGUCCAAUGUCAAUGGUGUGAUCUUUGACUGACAAAAUAAUACAAGAGUUUAAUGAAUCAAGUUGACCAGAAAAAAAAGGUAACAUUGAAACCAGAAACAAACAGUUUAUUAAAAGCUAUUGAAAGCCAUUGUAAAAGUAUUACAUUGAAUAAACAUGGAAAUAUUAAUAAAUGUUAUUUCCAUUAUUCCGUAAAUGUAUUAGUUUUGAUUAAACUGGUAAACCUUUCAAGAAAUUACAUUAAAUUUCAUUAAAAGCCUAAAUUACUUCAACAAUAAGAUUGCUGUUACAAUAUUUUAAAAAUCUGGUUAUUUUGGGUUAAUCUUGAUUUGGCAUUUUCCUCUCGUAAUUUUUGAAAACUGUUUACCCAAAUUAAGUGUAAUGACUGUUGCAAUGAGAAACCAGAAAAAGAAACCCAAAAAUGCAAUUUACUAAAUAACAGGCAAAUUAUUUUAUUUGAUGAACAACAAAAAAACCCAAUUUUACCUUCAUAACUCAACCAUAACCAUAACCAUCAUCAUCAUUGUUACCAUCAU